rnacentral:miRNA from 1 species
GUUUCGUGGGUGUCAGCCCCACUUCAUCAGAGACAUAAUCAUUAUGUCUAAUCAUUAUGUCUCUGAUGAAGUGGGGCUGACACCCACGAAAU